rnacentral:rRNA from 1 species
GACGGAGGAUGCAAGCGUUAUCCGGAAUGAUUGGGCGUAAAGCGUCCGCAGGUGGCAGUUCAAGUCUGCUGUCAAAGACCGGGGCUUAACUUCGGAAAGGCAGUGGAAACUGAACAGCUAGAGUAUGGUAGGGGCAGAGGGAAUUCCUGGUGUAGCGGUGAAAUGCGUAGAGAUCAGGAAGAACAUCGGUGGCGAAGGCGGCACUCUGGGCCGAUACUGACACUGAGGAGCGAAAGCGUGGGGAGCGAACAGG